rnacentral:lncRNA from 1 species
CCUGUAUUCACCGCACCCCUCGACAAAGAGUAAAAGUACCCCUGAUUUUCGUUCCUUUUCGUUCCUUUUCAUUCCAGAACCGCCGGUUCAUCGUUUCGUAAAUUCGUAGAGUGGUCGAAGCGCACAUUUUGAAAAGUCGCAGUGGGACGAGGAGGAAGAAAAUUAGAAAACGCGUCUUUUACGCAUUGAGGAGAGCGCGCGGACGGAUGCGGAUGUCAGACGGCCCGGAGAGCACCAUCUUCACUGUGUUACCUGGAAAUGUUUCACCCUGCUUUUUUUGCCGUGUUUCUGUCUCGCGGAAUACGCGGAACACGCCUGUCCUACCUGGCAGCGCGCAGAUGCCCUCCGGUCCAGGCACGCGGUGAGCCCCGAAGGUCUCCAGAUGUCUCCAGGUGCCCUCUCACCUCCUUCGGUUUAUAAUCACGUUGUGCACGUGAUGUCCCGACACCGUAACAACGUACUAAGCUCAGAUGAAGCAAGUACAAAGAAAAAAAACAUUUUCCAUACUGCCCAAAUUUUUUUGGAACUGGGGUUUGAACGUAAAGCAAGCGCUCCGAGGUCUUACUCAUCCACAGAGGGCCUUUGGAAAUGUAGACAGUGUAUGACUGAGAGGAGAUCAGGCUGAGGAAGCUGGAGAAAAGGCAGAAGAUCAGACUUGACACCAGGGUCUGGAACGAAGCCCAGCACUCGGAACUGUAAAGGUGACAGUCGGUGUUAAACGUAGCCCUGACUGAGGUUUCUUCUGGCAGCAGAUUUGAUUUACAGAGCAGUUUCCUUUUACCACAGUAAACCUCAAGGUAGUUGACUCUGCUCUGACUGAGGAAUGACUACUGAAUUUAACUUGAUGGCACAGUGAAGCAAAUGCAGAUUAUAUCUAUGUUGCGUUGAAUCAUUGUUGAUGAAAUCUGUAAGCCUGGCUUGGCUCCAUCUGGAUUUCUCGG